rnacentral:rRNA from 1 species
AGGGUUUGAUUCUGGCUCAGGAUGAACGCUGGCGGCGUGCUUAACACAUGCAAGUCGAGCGAAGCAGUUUAAAUGAGACUUCGGUGGAUUUUAAACUGACUGAGCGGCGGACGGGUGAGUAACGCGUGGAUAACCUGCCUCACACAGGGGGAUAACAGUUAGAAAUGACUGCUAAUACCGCAUAAGCGCACGGCAUCGCAUGAUGCAGUGUGAAAAACUCCGGUGGUGUGAGAUGGAUCCGCGUCUGAUUAGGUAGUUGGUGGGGUAACGGCCCACCAAGCCGACGAUCAGUAGCCGACCUGAGAGGGUGACCGGCCACAUUGGGACUGAGACACGGCCCAA